UAGUGCAGAGGUUAGCAUGUCCGCCUUUGACGCUGAACGCCUGGGUUCGAAUCCUAG
rnacentral:tRNA from 1 species